CAUAAUUUCCCCAGAACACAAUUACUGUAUUGUAACAUGAGUCCUAUUUUUCUCUUGUGCACUUCUUUGCUCAGGGCUUGACUUGAAGCUCUGUUUCUUUACAACUUUAAGUCUUGUGCUAUGAAAUAUUUACAGAUAAACUCUGGAAAAGUGGUAAAAUGAUUUCUACACUAAAGUCUUGAAUUACUGCUCUCCUGUUCACCUACUCCCAGUCUAAUUGCUAGACCACUUCCUUUCUUUGUGCGUAAGAGAUUAAAGUAUUCUUCAGAAAUACACACUUCCUUCCUCUAUCCAUACAGAAGAUUCUGGCAGUGAUGAAGACUUCCUCGUGGAAGAUGAUGAUGACAGUGAUUAUGGCAGUUCAAAAAAGAACAAAAAAAAGGUGGCCAAGAAAUCAAAGCCAGAGAGGAAAGAAAAGAAAAUGCCUAAGCCCAGGCUAAAAGCUACAGUGACACCCAGUCCGGUGAAAGGCAAAGGGAAGGCAGGCCGCCCUACAGCCUCAAAGGCAUCGAAAGAGAAGACCCCAUCCCCCAAAGAAGAAGAUGAAGAGCCUGAAAGCCCACCAGAAAAGAAAAAAUCAUCUAGCCCUCCUCCAGAGAAAUCAGGGGAUGAAGGGUCUGAUGAUGAAGCAGCCUCUGGUGAAGAUUAAAUGGCAGUUUGGGGAGAUUGUUUUGUUUUUUUAAAAAAAUAAAAUAAAAAGAGGAAAAGAAAACUUACUUAGGGGUAGAACACGGUUUUGGCUGUGGCUUGACUCAUGGGCUUUGAAUGCUGUCUUUAUUUUGAAUUGUUUAAUACAGUGUCCUUUUAUAAAGAGAGAACCCUUAUACAGUAAUUUUUUUUUAAUCACUGUUCUCCAUUGGCCAAUCCAUUCUUGUCUCCCACCAAAUCUGAAAACCAUUUAAAAGUAAUAAAUGGAUCACUUACUAAAAAUACAUAUUUUGAAGGGAUGUUGCAGUUUUGAAGCAAUAACAUAUGAGGCCGCUGCUUGGAAUUAUAUUUGCAAAUCAAGUAACAGAUUUCCCAAAGCUGGAAAGGGUCCUUCAAAACUACUGUUCCUUAUUGGAACACUCAACAAAUUCACCUUUUAGCACGUGUUUUCAGUUGACAACUUCCCUCACAAAAAAAGGAGAUUAAUGAAUUCUAAAUAAGACCAUAAUUACCCAUAUCUGAGCUUGUUGGGUUCAUGCAACUAUUUUAAUAGGGAAUAUUCUGGAGUCUUACUUUUGUGUUUCAUCCUUCAGAAAGGACUCAUCCAAUAAGGACAGGAUACCAUUUGCUUUUGACUGGGUAGAAUUGCAUUCUGCUCUUGGCAAACUGCGUUCCUUAGGCUUCAGACCUGCAACCCACCAGCUGCUCAAACCCGUUAUCCCUGUCACUUCAUGGCUGGAUAUAGUUAGGCAGAGCAUGGGAGGGAGAGUGUAAAACAAUUUUAAAGCUUAGUUUACUUAUGGUAUCACGGGAGGCUUUUAUUCCUUAAAAUCAUUUUAUGCAAAAAAAUUGACUUAAACUAGAGUUUAGUCUGAGAUUUGGGGGGAGGGAGGGUGGUCAUUUUAUAAAUUUGAAGUGAUGGAUUCCUGUAAGGCCACAGUCUCAGAUCCCAUGAGUCAUGCUUAAGUGUUUCUCUCCUCUCUUUCCGUCUGUCCUCAGAAAGGCUAUGUAGUCAUACCUCUCAACCCUCUUCAGCUGUAGUGUUUGGAUGGCAGACUCCCACCAGUAUAGAACAUAACUUUAUCCCAUCAUCAGUUCCAUUUCUUCUCCUUCCUGCAGUGUGGACUGCUUUUUAUGCUGUUCUCACACCCCGAUGUCUGCGCCUAAAGUAGUCAGCAUUCUGCUACCUAAGCCAAAACACUGGCUGAGUAGGAAUUGGCGCACUAACAGGAUAAAACUAGGAGGGAACUGUGUUGAUGGCAGGGUAGUAGCAGGACUGUGAUGCAUAACAAAAGCAGACUGUCCCACCAAAUUCAAUACACUUGAUGUCAGUGCAGUGGCAUUUUAAUGUGUUUCUUUCAAAGCAGCCAUAUCUCCUUUAACCCUUAUGAAUAAAAGUACACAGGAUUUUUCCUUGAAGUCUUGAUACGGGGACUACAGUAUUUGUUGGUGGAAAUAUAAGAAACUAGACUUGACACCUUUUUAACCCUUUAUGCUUUCUAUCUACCUUGCACGUUCUCUCCUAGCUGGCAAGCUUGACAGUCAUAAUCUUUUCAGUCAAUGAGGUGAAUUGUAUGUGUUCUUAAACCAGCCUCUUCAAGGUAACAAGACAGAGAGUUGGAUUUCUGGGGUACGUGUUACUGGAUUUUUAAGCUUGUUGGAUUUCUGAAAGCUUUCAGACGGGACGCACUACUAUGAUCUGGGAGGAGAACUGGCAGAGUAUCCCACGGAGCCUAAUGUCACUGAGCUAAAAAGACAGCUUGCAGCCAAGUUGUUUUUACCUGAUUCAUAGCUGUUAACUUAAUUGGGAGGCUGUAUUUUACCUUGGCGUAUGCAUUUUAAGUUCUCUAAUUGAGACUAUCUUUGCCACUGUCAUAAAGGCUACCAGUGUUUUCAUAAUAAAUCUCUAUUCUUAGGGGUUUAACUUUUUUGGCAGUACAACUUCAGGCUGGACUGUGAUAUGACUGUCUUGAGCAAGAAGUGAAUGUAUAACUUUCCCAUCCGAAUAUUAGGAGAGCAAAGUCUCUUGCAAUCUUUAAGUGAAACUUUACAGCUCAUAGUCCUGUAAUUCUUUAGUAAUGUACAAAAAGAUUAAAUGACCAACUUCUAAACAGUCAGCUAUGUGGCUACUGUGCAUAUAAAUUCACAUUUUUGGGUAACCUGCUCUUCCAUGACUGUCUUUCUGGUCCAUGCAGAUGGUUCCUCUCAAUACAAACUACAAAUAUACACACUUAAGCCUUUCUUGUCUAUUGGGUUGUUGGUUCACACCUGUUUUGUUUUGUUUUUAAAUGUACAAGAUUUACCUAAGAAUAGAAUGCCUCCAGUAGUAGAUCUGGUCAAUCAGCUAAAUGUCUUUUUAAUUGUCUAAAUACAUUUCACCCUUAGACCAGAAUUUGUUCUGAAGGGUGCAAGUUUUAUUUCCAUGAAAGCAUAUUUUCCUUUUUUUAAUGAAAGUUAAACUAAUGUCCAGGCUGUGAGAUAUAUGUACCUGAAACCUGGAAAUUAAGUGUUCAUAUUUGACCUCUGUUGAUAAACUCAAGUCUGUGGACUAUGGAUUCUCUCAUAACUGGCAAUUAUGGCCCUGAAUCUUUCAGUUGUUCUGCUUGUGUAUUCUUGACUAAUGGCGGACAUGUCAGGAUCGUAGGGUUCUUAAUUUUGAAUCUGUCACAAUCUGAACACUAUGUAAAUGCUACAUUUUUGUUUGGAUUUUUGUAACUGUUUCUCAGUAGGCUAGUGUUUCGAUAGUACGUACAAACACUAAAUCCUAGUGGUCUAGAUCCACUUGUCUCCAGGUUACGUUCUCAAUUGGAAGUAGAGCAGUUCAUUUUUUCUGUGGGUUGAAGAAAAUUGUGAAGACAAAGUUGCUGGUAUUUUUAAGAUGGGCUGAGCAUUUCUCAUUAGCAGUAGACUAACUUUUUAAGCAUGUAAUUUUAAAUGUUUUGUUUCCAAGCAUAUUAAUUCAGUGAAGAAAAGUAGCAAGGCACCUCUUUUUAUGGGGAGGAUAGGACUGGGUUUCUACUUCAGAAUAGUUUUCUAAUGAACAAAACAGAUUGCUGUUCUCUCCUGCCCAUCUCCCCAGAUCAGUAAAGGGUUAAGUACCUUGGAUGAAUUAUGAUCUGUUGCCUAGGUGUACCUUUGGAGCAUCUCCACUGAAAUGAAUGGACUUACUCCAGAGUUGCAAAUAAUCUAGCACCUGUCCUGGUCCCCAUCCUAAAAUGGCAGCUUAUCCAUUAACUUCUGCCAGGUACCUUUUGAGCUUUCUGCUUUGGGACCCCAUGAGAUUUGAGUUUGCAUUUGUAUACAAAUAGUAAUGUCUUUAACAGGCCAUUACGUGUGGCCAACAAAGGUGUACAAGCAAGAUUUCAUUGAUGUGUGGAAAUGGGUGCACUAAAUCUUAAUAUCAAAUAUAGCUUUAUCGAAUUUCUGUUCAAAUUGAUUCUAUAAAUUCAACAUACAUGUCAAUUCCUUUCAACAGAGGAAUUUAAGUUAAAAUUAGAUGGGGUUAGGGUUUAGAGUGGAGGGUGAAAGCAGAAUUUAAAUGUAUGGGCCGCUUAGGAGGCUUUUAAUAAGUAAGAUCAAACUAUCAUAUUGAAGCAGAGAAGUGUGUUGGGGAGGGCAAAUGGCUUACUUCCUCUAGUAUAUCUACUGCUGACCUGGGGUGAAUGGAAGGGUAGGUAAUUUGUUCUAAAAGCAUGCUCAGUUUCUGCACCACCAGGUAGCUGCACAGGAAGCAAAGAACUGUUUGUCCAGGGGCGGGAACAGAAGGUAUUUGGCAACAGCUGCUAACCCACAUGUACAGUGGACCAUUCGGCUAAGGAGAAACCAACAUGCUGGAAGCUUUUAAGCUGUAGAAUUGGUGCUUUGCUUCAUGUAACUUGUCUGUAGAAGGUUUAUUUUUAUAACAAAUCCUAUUGAUGAACAUGGUUUUUCAAAAACAAAUUUCUGACUUUCACUACUGCAAAGUGGAUGUUAGUGCAUCUGACACCAAUUACAAACAGUGAUAGUGUCUUUGGAAAGCAUCUCCCAGAAUCUACCAUGUCCUCCUUUUACAUUUCCCAUGUCCGUUGAUGCCUGGCAUUUGAACAUUCUCUUUCAUUAAAAUCUUUAUAAAAAUGCAAAUGUUUCUCUUUCUAAGCCUAGUCAAGUUCUCACUAUAUGCUGACUCAAUGUAUCAACCACUAUUGGAAAGAUCUCUGUUAGCUGCCUGCCCCGGACCACUUCAGGGAAUUGAAUGGUUCCAUCAGUCUGAGCAUGCUCAGUGUGACUGCAAGACACCAUUGUGCAUAUGCUUUGUAUGUCGGGGUCAGGGUUACAUAUAUAUUUAUAUAUAUUGGGAGGGGCAGGGUGGGAUGAAGAAAUAAUCAGCGUAAGCCACACCCAUGUGUGUGAAUGCCCCUGGAGUAUUUUGUGUGUGAGUGCGCAAGUGUGUGUGCGCGCGCAUGGGAGUGUCUGAUAAUUUUAUCCCUCUCUUCUGGAAAUUUGUGAGUUUUACUUUUUCCUGCAGAAGCAAUUGUUACAGAAAUUGUAAAUAAGAGCUACAUAACUUGUUUCACCAUGAACAUGUCAUAAAAGCCCUACAUAACUACCCUGAAAUAAAUGCAGAAGAGACUCCAAGUUGGGCAUUGAGCCCAUGAUUUCAGCAAGGCACCACUCAGUGGUAUGCAAUGAAUAAUUAUCUUCAGUGUUCACAACACCAUUGGGCUUUUGUUAAA